GCGAUCAUACCACCACUAAUGCACCGGAUCCCAUAAGAACUCUGAAGUUAGGCGUUCUUGGGCGAGAGUAGUACUAAGAUGGGCGACCCCCUGGAAGUCCUCAUGUUGUACCCC
rnacentral:rRNA from 1 species